CCCCCGCCGCCGCCCACAACUACCCAUCGCCACCGACCGCCCUCCACGUUGACCACUGCCACCGACUAGCCUCCGCCCCAACCACUGCUGCCAUCGCCCUCACCCACCGCACCCCGCCCAACCACCUCACAGCAGCACCGCCGAGCACCCAACUGACAUGGACAACCACCGGCGCCGACCGGCCCGUCGUCGAGCCACUCCACCGCCGACCCGUCUCCUCUGCCGGGCGCCUUCCAUUGCUACAUCGCGAGCUUCCUCCCCCGAGCAGGCCUCUCCCCAUACUCGCAGUGGUGAGAUACAAAGAUGGGAGAGGAUGCGGCACAAGGAAGCCCUUGGUAUGUUCAGAUGAGCAAGGAUGGCUCCCCUUACCUUAGGAAAGUGGACCUCAAGAUGUAUUCUAGCCACGACAGCCUCCAAUUGUUAGUGUUUGAUCCCAUGGUAUUUCCUUGUGUUUGGACAUUACAGCUACAGUUUUAGAUAUACAAUGUUCUCUUGGGUCCUAACUGCUUCCAAGAAUGUUGUUAUAAUUUAUGGAUGCAGUCUUGAUGCUUAGAAGGACUAAUUUCUCAGGGGAUGAUACACCUUCAAGUUGAUGUAAGCACAAAAUCACGUUGGGAUGGCAACCUCCAUUAAUUUAUAUCAGCAUGAAUUAGAUAUCACCAAUGGAACCUUGCCUGCAGUUUCACAUGCUGAUUAAUUAUACUUUAGUUGGAUACUAAUGCCACGUGAUCUUGUAGUUUAACUCUGUGUGUAUCUAUAAUCUAUUUCUUAUCAUUUUUCUGGAAUGAUUCUGGCUAAGUUUCUAUUUCAAUGAAACAACGGAUUAAAUAAAAUGUUUGAUUUCAUCAACGGUUCAUGUUAAGCUAAACACUAAUAUUUGAUAUAGACUUAAGUAUCAAUACACCCAAGCAAACGUAUCGGGUAUACCUUUAGCAAUUAGAUAACUGAGGUUGUCGUAUAAGAAAAUAAUUUUCACAUAUUUUUUUUCUACUACCACUGCUUCUCAGCCUUAUCAUGUGCAAUUUACAUAAGUUAUCAGCUUAUCGGAAAAUGUUGGUGGCGGUGGACUGGGGGAAAUACUAUGUGUAGCAACGACAAGCUCGCCCUAAAUGUGUUGCUCGCUGAGCCCUAUCGCUGUAGCAGCUCUCGUCCUCUACUUCCUUGUCCUAACCAGGGCAUUUGAUAGGUGAGAUUUGUUUGCUGACUUUUUUUUUAUUCAGUGUCUAGCAGUUUUAGUCAUGUGAUGUUGUGUACUAACCUAAAGCUUCGAUUGGCGGAAAGCUGGCCAGAUUAUCUGGAAUAUUAUUUGUAUUCUUUACUAAUCCGCUUCUCAGGACAUGACCCAGUUUCUCAUUCAUUGGCUGGUUUCUGUUGUAGUCAUUUAGUUGCUUUGUUCAUGUGGUUGUAAGAUGUUUAAACUGUUGGGCGCCAUAACCUGUUGGUUCUUGCUUGCAAUUGUCGUUGCAGUGCUGGAGGAAAGAGUGGGUGAAGAUCAUGCUGGAAUGAGUUUUUAAUCCUGCUUGAAUCAUAUGAAGAAAUUUCUGUUGUUUUUUGUCUGUAAAGCUACAAAUAUGUUUCGGGGGAGCAGGUUGUUGGGUGGCUGCCUGUUGGGAGCUACCGGAAGAACAAACAGCCCGCCAAUGCCACAGAGACCAAGGCGGAGAACAAAGGUAGAAGCGAGGCAGGAUGGUGCUAUGUCAAGGUCAGCAUGAAUGGAGCCCCAUACCUAAGGAAGGUCGACCUCAAGACUUAACUCGAGCUAUUACCUAGAGCUUGAGAAGAUGUUCAGCUGCUUCGUUGUUUCUAGAUGUUUCUCAAAGAUACACAAGUUGCUGGAGGUUUGGAAGAUCUACAAGUUGGUGCAGUCAUAAUAUAUAUGUAAUAUGCCUUGUUUGUUGAACCUGGAGAUAUUGCAAAGUUUUACUCUGCUUAUUUUGGUGGUUGUUUUUGCACACAAACCACUAUAUCCUCAUUUUGCUUGUGUGCCACAGUUUUUAUUAUCUUGAAACAGAUGUACAUAUGUAUUUGGUCUGUUUAUGAUAUUGAAUGAGGCCUUAUAUAUAACUUUGAUUGAACAGCA